GCUUAUGGCCACACCGCCUGGUUCACGUCCGAUCUCGUUUGAUCUCGGAAGCUAAAAUAGGUUGGGCCUGGUUAGUACUUGCAUGGGAGAUGCCUGGGAAUACCAGGUGCUGUAAGCU
rnacentral:rRNA from 1 species